rnacentral:rRNA from 1 species
CCAACGGGGAUUGCCUCAGUAACGGCGAGUGAAGCGGCAACAGCUCAAAUUUGAAAUCUGGCUCCUUCGGGGUCCGAGUUGUAAUUUGUAGAGGAUGUUUCGGGUGCGGCGCCGGUCUAAGUCCUUUGGAACAGGGCGUCACAGAGGGUGAGAAUCCCGUAUGUGACCGGUGUCCAACCCCAUGUGAAACCCCUUCGACGAGUCGAGUUGUUUGGGAAUGCAGCUCUAAAUGGGUGGUAAAUUUCAUCUAAAGCUAAAUACCGGCCAGAGACCGAUAGCGCACAAGUAGAGUGAUCGAAAGAUGAAAAGCACUUUGGAAAGAGAGUCAAAAAGUACGUGAAAUUGUUGAAAGGGAAGCGCUUGCGACCAGACCUGCCCGUGGGCGAUCAGCCGCUGUUUUCAGCGGUGCACUCGUCCACGAUCAGGCCAGCAUCGGUGCGGGCGGCCGGAUAAAGGCCUCGAGAACGUAGCUUCCCUUCGGGGGAGUGUUAUAGCUCGAGGUGCAAUGCGGCCAGCCCGGACCGAGGACCGCGCUUCGGCUAGGAUGCUGGCGUAAUGGUCGUAAGCGACCCGUCUUGAAACACGGACCAAGGAGUCUAACAUUUAUGCGAGUGUUUGGGUGUCAAACCCAUACGCGUAAUGAAAGUGAACGGAGGUGAGAACCCUGAAGGGCGCAUCAUCGACCGAUCCAGAUGUCUUCGGAUGGAUUUGAGUACGAGCAUAACUGUUGGGACCCGAAAGAUGGUGAACUAUGCCUGAAUAGGGUGAAGCCAGAGGAAACUCUGGUGGAGGCUCGCAGCGGUUCUGACGUGCAAAUCGAUCGUCAAAUUUGGGUAUAGGGGCGAAAGACUAAUCGAACCAUCUAAACGAACCAAACCUACUGGAUGGUUUGAUCGAGCCUGGAAAUGCUCGAGACAGUCCCUUUUUCGGGGGCUACAUUACCAGUCGUCGGGUAUGCCUUCGGGUGACCUGCUGCGGAUUCCGCGAGGAUUUCCGUUCACAGACUAAACGGUAGUGGCUGCGACAUCUGCAGUUGUGAGAUAGCCGAUGCGGCCCGGAGCAGGGUCGUCGCACAGAGUAGCUGGUUCCUGCCGAAGUUUCCCUCAG